GGGUGGGGGGGAAUAGGUGUUCGGUUCGUCGGAUUCCGCCGAAAAAAUUGUUCGGAUAUUGGUUUUGGCGAAUAUUUUACACGGAUUUGUGGAUCUUAUUAAUACAACGGAUUGCGGAUUUAUCUAAUAUUCUGGCUCCGAUUGUGGAUUUUGCUUGCAAUUUAGUUCGGAUCCUGGAUUGUGACUUCACAGUAGAGCUUUUAGCGGAUCCAUAUUUAGAUAAGAGUCAUAAGACCAUUGUAGGACGUCAGAUUUUGCUUCAAAUUUGGGCGGAUUGGUAUAUCCCUAUUCAC
rnacentral:lncRNA from 1 species